rnacentral:tRNA from 1 species
GGGGUUGUGGCUCAGUGGUAGAGUGCUUGCCUAGCAUGCAUGAGGCACUGGGUUCGAUCCUCAGCAACACAU